UACGGAGGGGGCUAGCGUUGUUCGGAUUUACUGGGCGUAAAGCGCGCGUAGGCGGUUUUUCAAGUUGGGCGUGAAAUCCCGGGGCUCAACCCCGGAACUGCGUUCAAAACUGAAUUACUCGAGGCCGGGAGAGGGUAGUGGAAUUCCCAGUGUAGAGGUGAAAUUCGUAGAUAUUGGGAAGAACACCAGUGGCGAAGGCGGCUACCUGGACCGGAUCUGACGCUGAGGCGCGAAAGCGUGGGGAGCAAAC
rnacentral:rRNA from 1 species